rnacentral:tRNA from 1 species
UAACUCAGAUGGUAAAGAAUCUGCCUGCAAUGCAGGAGACCCAGGUUCAACUCCUGG